UUCCGACUCCAGGGCACCGUUGAGGAUAUCCGGCGGCCGCUCGGACCUGGCCCUGCCACAGGCGCCUUCCCAGCAUCAGGGCCAUUCUAUCCUUGAGGGGCGAAGGGGUCACUUCUUGUCUCUCCUCGCCGCCGCUGCUGCCCAGCUGGCAGGGAUGCCCAACUGACCUCUCACCCGGCCUGGGCUCUUCCGCCUCCCGCCCGCACCGCUUUGGGAACUAGUAGGGGACUUUGGGAAUCAGCCCGGCGCCCCCAACCUUCUUCCUCUUUCCCGACGCCCUGCUCCAUCUGCCCACUCCCCACUCUGGCUUUGGUGGUCUCUCACUGAACCUCUUUCCCCAGUUUAGGACCUGCUGGAAGGGGUCCUAAGAUGAAACUCAGCAGCAGCGCGUGGCCACUGUAGGGACCUAGGAGCUGAACAACCUGCUCCACUUCAUUUCGUUACAAAUUGAUUUUGAUACAAACCAUGUUGGGAACUCAACAGCCUUGGAUGCUCCUUGGAGAGGCAGCUGUUUUGAAUUCCUGCAGUUUGUUCUGAGCAAGAUAUGGACCUCUUAACCAUUUUUUUAAAGUGCUCAACCAAAGAUUGUAUUAGAAGUAACACUUUCAGAAAAGAAAAUGUAAGCAAUGCAGAAAGGACUCAGAUGGAAAGUGAAAGUCCUCUGGACUGAAGGUGAGGAGAGAGAGCAGGCCUGGAGACUGAAUUGGACUGUGCAUUGGGACGGAACCCUGGGGAAACCGCAGCUGCACUAGAGCAGUUGUGUCAGCAGGGCUCAUCGGAAUGUCCCCACAGAAAAACUGGCCACAUGAGACUGUCUUGCUUUGCUGCUUAUUAUCUUCUGUCUACUUUUUCUAGGAAAAUACCUUUCAGCGUUUGUAUUGUUUUAAGUUAUUGAAGCUCGUUGUAUACUAAAGAGCUUUCAGUCUGUCAAAUUUGUUACAAUUUUUUCCCUAAAUUAUUGUUCAUCUUCUAAGUUUUUGGUGUUUUCUGCCAUUCAAAAAUGAUUUUUAUUGUGUUGUCAGUUCUAAUAAUCCUUUUCUUUUGUUGUCUCUGCCUCUGAUAGCAUGCUUAGAAACUCUUCUUCAGCCCCAGGGUUAUAAAAGUGUUCACUUGA
rnacentral:lncRNA from 1 species